GUGGGGAGAAGAAUCGCAAUUUGGAUGUGUUCAGUUGAGCAGCUUGUGGGGUAUCCAAGUGUGGGGGGCAGGUGAGCUGAGUUAAAUAUGGCUUGAAGCCAAACUGCCUGGAUUUGAAUCUCCCCUCCUCAACUGUUCAGCUGUGUGACAUUGGGCAAGUUUAUUAACCUCUCUGUGCUUCUGUAUUAGAGUCUCCAGAAAAACAGAGCUGACACGAUGCAUAUAGAGAAAGAGACAGAGAGAGAGAGAGAUUUAUUUUAAGGCACUGGCUCACAUGAUUGGGGAUGGCAAGUUCAAACUUUACAAGGCAGCCAGCUGCCUGGAAAUUCCCCCAGGAGUUGAUGUUAUAGUCUCAAGUCCUAAGGCAGUCUAAGUCCUGAGGUAAAACGCCUUCCUCUUCAGAGUACCUCAAUCUUUUCUCUUUAAGUCCUUCAACUAAUUAGAUGAGGCCCACCACAUUAUGGACAGGAAUUCAUUCUAUGCUCUGCACUGAUUUAAAUGUUAAUACCUGCCAGAAAAUACCUUCAUGACAACCAUCUAGAUUAGUGUUUGACCAAGGAACUGGGUGCCACAGUCUGGUCCAGUUACACAUAAAAAUAACCAUUGCAGCUUUCCUUUCCUUAUCUGUGAGAAGGUAAUAAUAGUACCUCCUUGCUAUAGCUGUGGGAGAAUGAAAGGGCUAUUCUCUGUCCCAUGCUGAGAUAAGUGCUGACAUGUCUACGUCAGGUAAGCAAGCAUCAUGGCUUUGUCUGCUCCAGCGUCCAAGUGGAGAUGCCAAGGAAGUCUUGAAUGUACUGGUCUGAAAGCAGUGCAGACACUGAUGUGGAGUCCUUAGGGUGGUCCCGGGAGCUGGGUGGGUAGAAGAAGAUCCUUCAGUGCACAGGGCAGGCUUGUUUCCCUGGCCACACCUUUUAUGAACCUUGCAUCCAUCACUUCAAGUUCCCCAUCAUUCCCCAGCACCAGGUUUUUCCUCCCUCACUCCCCGUGCUACUCUCUCAUAAGGGUCAAAUGCCAGGCCCUGCGGGCUUUUCCCAGCAUGGCCUGGGCGGUUGCGCAGGUUGGGAACUGCACUUAUCCUACUCCUGUGGCAUGCUUUACAGCAUCCCCAACAUCCUCAAAGUCAAGGAUGUGCCCUAUGCCUGUUCUGAGGCAGCAUCAAGUAGUGGUGAUGAGCCAAGGCUUGGGAAUUGGCAGGUACUAGUUGAUAUCUGAGUCCUUUGAAUGGACUCAAUGUCAUGGAGGCUUAUGUUCCCCAUCUGUAAAAUGGGAAUAAUGCACAUGGAACAGGACUAUAGGAGGAUUAAAGGACAAAGAUGUGUAAAACAAGGCAUGAAUAAUUGUGGCUUGUUGUCACCUCUGUAGCUCCUAUGCACAGCAUGGUCCGCAUGUAGCUUGCCUUCUUUGUGAAGUUGAAUGAUUUGGUCUUAAAGACCUGAGAGAUACAUCUUUGGAAAGGAUGGGAAGCCUGUCAGACCUCCCCUCUGUGCAGUGGGUUUUCUUGGGCCCACUGGGCUUGUGACCCUACCCACCAGUCUGCCCAGAUGUGCCACCUAAGGUAGAUGCCUGUCCCCUGGAGAGGACUUUGCUGUCUGAUUUCUCUCUAGGCAAGCUCUGUUUACAGCUAAUUUGCCCUUGCCUUGUGCCUUCUGAGUUUUUGACAACAACCUU
rnacentral:lncRNA from 1 species